UCAUUAGUGAAAGCAAGGGCCAGCCAUACGGACGGCGCUGCUCGCGUACAACGUCUCUGGCGCCCAACUUUACACAAUAUCCACAAACCCGUGUGCACCGUUUGGAUGAGUUGGGCAAGAGGCUCGGCUCUCCAAUCCAUUUCUACCAAACUCGUAUGGUUGUAUGAACGUGGAAAUCGUUGGACCGUAACUGGCCAACAACCAAUAAUACAACUUUCGACAACGGAUCUCUUGGUUCUCCCAUCGAUGAAGAACGCAGCGAAACGCGAUAGGUAAUGUGAAUUGCAGAAUUCCGUGAAUCAUCGAAUCUUUGAACGCACCUUGCGCUCCAUGGUAUUCCGUGGAGCAUGCCUGUUUGAGUGCCGUGAAUUCUCUCUCCCCAAGCGGUUGCGAUUGCACUGCUUUGGCGGACGAGGUUGGAUGGGUGCUUCUGCCUGUUUCGCAAGAAACAGGCUCGCCCGAAAUGCAUUAGCGCCUUUGGGACACACUCUGCAAACCGCUCUGAAAGGGAGGGCGGCAGAGGGGAUGGAGGAACUCCGCCCG
rnacentral:rRNA from 1 species